rnacentral:lncRNA from 1 species
AUUCUUUUUAAUAAAAUUUAAUUUCAUUAGCAAAUCCUUAAAAAAAAUGUAUUUGAAAACAAAUUUAAAAAUUAAUAAGUGUAUUUUGGUCGUCCAGAAAUAAAUAAGAUAGUUUUUAAAUUUUGAAGAAUAUAUUAGAUAUUAUACCAGGCGUAUUAUUAUUACAAGUUAAAUCCUCAUAUUUUAUUUGAUCUUAAAAUUUUACGUGUAUUUCACAUCCAUCAUGUAUAUAUUAAGCGUGUUUUCUAAAAAUGUGAAUAUAUAUUUCAUAUUCUGUGCUAAUUUUUCUGUGAGGCGGUGCAUU